UUUGCGUCGAAGGUAUACCGGUAAGGAGUGCUGGAGCGAAUAGAAGUGAGCAUGCAGGCAUGAGUAGCGAUAAUUAAUGUGAGAAUCAUUAACGCCGUAAACCCAAGGUUUCCUACGCGAUGCUCGUCAUCGUAGGGUUAGUCGGGUCCUAAGUCGAGUCCGAAAGGGGUAGACGAUGGCAAAUUGGUUAAUAUUCCAAUACCAACAUUAGUGUGCGAUGGAAGGACGCUUAGGGCUAAGGGGGCUAGCGGAUGGAAGUGCUAGUCUAAGGUCGUAGGAGGUUAUACAGGCAAAUCCGUAUAACAAUACUCCGAGAACUGAAAGGCUUUUUGAAGUCUUCGGAUGGAUAGAAGAACCCCUGAUGCCGUCGAGCCAAGAAAAGUUUCUAAGUUUAGCUAAUGUUGCCCGUACCGUAAACCGACACAGGUGGGUGGGAUGAGUAUUCUAAGGCGCGUGGAAGAACUCUCUUUAAGGAACUCUGCAAAAUAGCACCGUAUCUUCGGUAUAAGGUGUGGUUAGCUUUGUAUUAGGAUUUACUCCGAAAGCAAGGAAACUUACAACAAAGAGUCCCUCCCGACUGUUUACCAAAAACACAGCACUCUGCUAACUCGUAAGAGGAUGUAUAGGGUGUGACGCCUGCCCGG
rnacentral:rRNA from 1 species